AGGGGAAAAGCGGGGGAGGGGAGGGAGGGGAGACCUCCCCCUCCGACCUGUGCCACCCCCUCCCCAUUUCGCCGUGUCCCCCGUGUCGCCGUGGAUGCCAUGGGUAAUUGUGUGUGACCGUUGUAAUUCCCGUGAUAAAAAACACAAACAACAAAAAAAAAGGGUUGCUUUUUAUUAUUUUCCUUUUUUUUUUUUUUUUCUUUUCCCUUGAUAAUUUUUAUUUUCUAUCAGAGUGUCCGGCUUUAAUAAAAAUUAAUUUUUUUUUUUACUUUUUUUUUUUUUUUGGACUCUUUUUUCUCUCUUUUCUGGCGCUGUUUUUCCCUCACUUUCCACCCCCAAAAUUGAGAAUUUCGAUGGGGAUGAGACAUCCCCGAUUCUCUUAUUUCCUCCCCAAAAUCUCAGAGAAAAAAUGAGAUUUAUCCCCACCGUGGAUAAAAUUCCCAACAGCGGGAAUUUGGGGUCUAUUCCCGCCUCCCCCCGCCAAAAAAUGGGAAUUAACACCAGCAAAACCUCGAAUAAUCAGUUUAUUUCCAAUAUAUAGACCAGGAGGUGGGAGGGCAAAGCAGGGGGGAUUUUUGGGGUUGGUUUGCGGUUUUUAUUUAUUUUUUUUUUUGCAGUUUUGCAGAUCCCGACGGGGCCGAGGCGCCGGGAAUGGGGGUGGGGAGGGGUUUUGGGUUUUUUUUGGGGAGGGGGGGACAUGCAGGAGGGUUUUAAAAAGUCACCACUGAGCACGUCCCCUGCUCGGGGCUGGCUUUUUCCGCUGAGCAAAACUUCUUUAAAAAAAUCCUUUAUAAAUCCUUUGGGAUAUGUUACACGGGCACAGAGACGAUAUUUACAGGGAAGGGGGGAAAAAUAAAACCCACCAAAAAAAAAAAUGGAAAAAAAAAAAUCCCAAAAAUUCGAAAAGAAAAACAAAUUUUACAGCAAAUAUUUGCAUAACGUAAUGAGAACGACACGGAGAGACGGUGACGGGAGGUGACACCAAGGCCACCGAGCUGGUGGCACUCGGUGUCCCCGCGUGGCCACGCCAGGGGUCCCCGCGCCCCCUUCCUAAAGUGCUUCUGGCCUGGGGGGCAGGAAGGGGACAGCGGUGGGAAGGGACAGCGACACGGUGGCAGUGUCCCCUCCCCGUGUCACAGGGUGUCCCCACUCAGUGCCAGCCCCUCCCCGGCUCCUGGGGACACCCCAGGCUCAGGGUGACAGCGCUGAGGUCCCCAAGGGACCCUGGCACACGGGGGGGGUCCCUGAGGUGGGGUCCUCAAGGUGCUCAGGGCAUGGAGAGUCCCCAAGGUCCCCCAGGGCAGGGGUCUCUGACCCUGAUGUCCCCAAGGUCCCCAGCACAGGGGUCUCUGACCCCGAGGUCCCCAGGGUCCCCAACCCGGGGCAGGUCCCGGCCGGAGCAGCCGCAGCGCCCAGGGAAGUGCCCGCACUUCGCUCCGCCGCGGCUGGGGACAGCAGGGCCACCACUGGGGACAGUCCCCGCCAGCCCCUCCCGGCACUGCCUGGGGGCUGCGGGACCCCGCUGGUCCCCAAAGCGUGGAGGGGACGAGGUGGCUUUGUCCCCCCUCCCCAGGCGCGGGGCCACCGGGACCUGGUAAAUAAUCACAGCAGCUUGUCCGGAGCACAAUUAAAUACGGGGACAAGGGACAAUCCUUAA
ensembl:lncRNA